rnacentral:rRNA from 1 species
UACGAAGGGGGCGAGCGUUGUUCGGAAUUACUGGGCGUAAAGGGCGCGUAGGCGGCCGAUCAAGUCAGAUGUGAAAGUCCUGGGCUUAACCUGGGGACUGCAUUUGAUACUGAUUGGCUUGAAUUCGGGAGAGGAUAGCGGAAUUCCCAGUGUAGAGGUGAAAUUCGUAGAUAUUGGGAAGGACACCGGUGGCGAAGGCGGCUAUCUGGACCGACAUUGACGCUGAUGCGCGAAAGCGUGGGGAGCAAACAGG